GAUCUGGCUCAGGACGAACGCUGGCGGCGCGCCUAACACAUGCAAGUCGAACGAGCGAGAGAGAGCUUGCUUUCUUAAGCGAGUGGCGAACGGGUGAGUAACGCGUGAGGAACCUGCCUCAAAGAGGGGGACAACAGUUGGAAACGACUGCUAAUACCGCAUAAGCCCACAGCUCGGCAUCGAGCAGAGGGAAAAGGAGCAAUCCGCUUUGAGAUGGCCUCGCGUCCGAUUAG
rnacentral:rRNA from 1 species